CUACGGGUUGCUGCAGUGAGGAAUAUUGCACAAUGGGGGGAACCCUGAUGCAGCAACGCCGCGUGGAGGAUGACGCAUUUCGGUGUGUAAACUCCUUUUAUAUGUCAAGAAAAUGACGGUAGCAUAUGAAUAAGCACCGGCUAACUCCGUGCCAGCAGCCGCGGUAAUACGGAGGGUGCAAGCGUUACUCGGAAUCACUGGGCGUAAAGGACGCGUAGGCGGGUUGGAAAGUCAGGUGUGAAAUCCUACAGCUUAACUGUAGAACUGCACUUGAAACUUCUAAUCUAGAGUAUGGGAGGGGGAGAUUGAAUUAGUGGUGUAGGGGUAAAAUCCGUAGAUAUCACCAGGAAUACCUAAAGCGAAGGCGAUCUCCUGGAACAUUACUGACGCUAAGGCGUGAAAGCGUGGGGAGCAAACAGGAUUAGAUACCCCUGUAGUC
rnacentral:rRNA from 1 species